UACAACCUCAACUCAUAUGGGAUUACCCCCUGAAUUUAAGCAUAUUAAUGAGGGGAGGAAAAGAAACUAAC
rnacentral:rRNA from 1 species